rnacentral:rRNA from 1 species
UACGUAGGGGCCGAGCGUUGUCCGGAGUUAUUGGGCGUAAAGCGCGCGCAGGCGGCCUCGCGCGCCCGACGUGAAAGCCCCCGGCUUAACCGGGGAGGGUCGUUGGGGACGGCGGGGCUUGAGGGCGGGAGAGGGUGGUGGAAUUCCCGGUGUAGCGGUGAAAUGCGCAGAUAUCAGGAGGAACACCGGUGGCGAAGGCGGAUCUCUGGGCCAUUACUGACGCUGAGGAGCGAAAGCGUGGGGAGCGAACAGG